UAGGGAAUCUUCCACAAUGGACGAAAGUCUGAUGGAGCAACGCCGCGUGAGUGAAGAAGGUUUUCGGAUCGUAAAGCUCUGUUGUUGGCGAAGAAGGAUAGAGGCAGUAACUGGUCUUUAUUUGACGGUAAUCAACCAGAAAGUCACGGCUAACUACGUGCCAC
rnacentral:rRNA from 1 species